UAUCUCUGAAAAUUCUCUUUUUAACCCACAUCUCUCUUAGUAGAAAAUGCUUGGUGGUUUACAAAUGGCUUUCGAAUGCUUUCUUAAGAUGUUUUUACUUCAAAAUGUUUCUGUGAGACUUUACUUUAUAGAAUUCCUCGGCCUUUCUUCCUCAAAAGGCUUUAAUACAAUUACUUCAAAAAACUGACUUUUAAAACUUAUACUGGAGUCUGAAAUCCUGGCUAAACUGCCCUUUAAAACCCAAACUAGGACACUCUGUCCUUCCUAAGCUCAGCUAUCACCAAAAACUGUCUCAGCUAUCACAUUGGUUGAACUCCCAGGAAUCAGCUACCUCCUUAGCUGUCCCAGCUCAACUCCCAACUGACUAGAAUGUUCAGGCAUAACUGAACUAACUGACUUUUAGCUCCGCCCCUCUCAUGCCCCAGCACCUGCUCAUUUGCAUCUGGCCAAUCAGGCUGCUCCAUGCAAAUAGCUGCUAGAUGGCUCCUCCCCCGGCUCUGCUGUACAAUGGGAGCCACAAAAUGUCUGCCAAACUUCCUGGCUCUACAAAAUGGCUGCUCACAAACCAACCCUUCGAAGUAGGCCACACACCAACUUUUCCUCUGAAAGAGAUUGUAACAGAAUUUUCCCUAUGGAGCGAACCUCCCCAGAGCAAACAAAGCCAGAAGCUCUUGAAGUAAGGUAGAGCUGUUGGAGCUUAGAUCAUCAUCAUAGGCAUAUCCAUGUCCAAGUACCGAGAUCAGCGAAAGCUUUGACAGGACCACUUGCCACUCAAAUGAGCCACAUGUUUCCUGGAAUUGAUCUCAGUGGUUCUGGUCACCACAAGACUGCCCAAUAAGGAAUGAAAGGAGCUGGAAGUACAGACAACAGUCUUUCAAGUUUCCUUCACCUCCUAGAUGGAGAUUCAAUUGUGCUCUGGAUUAAGAAAGAAAAGAAAAGAUAAUCAGGAGGAAUGAAGCAGUCAAAUGUUUUAUCCCUAUUGCUGUGCCUUGAGGGCAUUACAUUGCAGAAUCACACAGGACUAUGGACAGAUAAAUGUUAAAAAAUUAGUUAUAACUGCCUUUGCAUAUUUAUUGGCAUCUUGCUCAGACAGUAGAAAUCUUGUGACCUGCCAAGCCAAGGAAGGGACCAAGGCCAGCAGGAUAAAUUAGGAACGCUUUAGAGACUCUACCAGAGUGAGUGAAUGUGCAUAAAUGAUGGUCUCUUGUAGAAAAAAAGAGACUAAAUUUCUUGAAUAAACGAACCCUUUUUGAAUU